UCGAAUCCUGUAGAAGCAAACCGCGAACAUGUUUAAUCACAUUGGGAUUGUGGCGGGGGUAAUCUCUCGUCGCAUCCCCCUCCUGCACGCACUCACUUUGUGGGCUAACGAACCCCGGCGCGGAAUGCGCCAAGGAUUACUAAUGAAUUGUCCACCCACUUGGCCCCGUUCGCGGUGAGUUAGGGGGAUGAAUCUCAAUGUCAAAACGACUCUCGGCAACGGAUAUCUCGGCUCUCGCAUCGAUGAAGAACGUAGCGAAAUGCGAUACUUGGUGUGAAUUGCAGAAUCCCGUGAACCAUCGAGUCUUUGAACGCAAGUUGCGCCCAAAGCCUUUUGGCCAAGGGCACGUCUGCUUGGGCGUCACGCAUCGUGUUGCCCCCUCCUCUGUCCUCGGAUAAUGGCCUCCCGUGCGUCACGACGUGCGGUUGGUCCAAAUGAGAUCCUCCGGCGACGCACGUCGCGACUAGUGGUGGUUGAACUCUCAACUCUCGUGUCGUUGUGCCGUGCGUUGUGCGGCAGGAUUAUUGCAUACCCAAUCGUGCGAUCUAUUCGCACUUUCGACCGCGA
rnacentral:rRNA from 1 species